AUAAUCGUUGGAAACGACGACUAAUACCGCAUACGGUUCUUGGAAGGCAUCUUCUAAGAAAGAAAGGAUUUAUUCGGUAAAAGAUGGGCCCGCAUCUGAUUAGCUAGUUGGUGAGAUAAUAGCCCACCAAGGCAACGAUCAGUAGCCGACCUGAGAGGGUGACCGGCCACAUUGGGACUGAGACACGGCCCAAACUCCUACGGGAGGCAGCAGUGGGGAAUAUUGCACAAUGGGGGAAACCCUGAUGCAGCAACGCCGCGUGAAGGAAGACGGUUUUCGGAUUGUAAACUUCUAUCAAUAGGGAAGAAAGAAAUGACGGUACCUAAAUAAGAAGCCCCGGCUAACUACGUGCCAGCAGCCGCGGUAAUACGUAGGGGGCAAGCGUUAUCCGGAAUUACUGGGUGUAAAGGGAGAGUAGGCGGCAAGGUAAGCGAUAUGUGAAAGCCUUAAGCUUAACUAAAGGAUUGCAUAACGAACUAUCUAGCUAGAGUACAGGAGAGGAAAGCGGAAUUCCUAGUGUAGCGGUGAAAUGCGUAGAUAUUAGGAAGAACACCAGUGGCGAAGGCAGCUUUCUGGACUGAAACUGACGCUGAGGCUCGAAAGCGUGGGGAGCGAACAGGAUUAGAUACCCUGGUAGUCCACGCUGUAAACGAUGAGUGCUAGGUGUCGGGGAGGAAUUCCCGGUG
rnacentral:rRNA from 1 species